ensembl:lincRNA
AUUUUUUUUUUUAAAGACUGGAAAUGUAGGUCAGUGUGAGGUAUAAGGGCCCUGACUUCAGUCCCCAGUAUCACACACAUACCCCCCCCAAAAAAAGGAAAACAAAAACACUUCAAAUGCUGUACUCUACCUAAAUAGAAAAAAUUCUCUGUAAAUCAGGCAUGGUUGUAUAUACCCAUUAUUCAGCAUGCUAAGAGGCUGAGGCAGGAGGAUCACAAGUUCCAGCCCAGCAGAGCAACUUAGUGACUUAUCUCAAUGCUGGUCAGGUUACGGAGUGCAGCUGCUCCUCCUUCAGAUGUCUAGAAUUGUCCCCAAGAAGCCAGGGGUUUGUCCCCACUAUUCCACAUAGUUCCAGGCGUUUGGAGAGUGCGCCGCGCUGCAGUCCUCACGCCGGUGCUCACCUGGGCUUUCCCUGCCUGUGUUUCAGGACAAGGACUCCAGCCUGGAUGCCCAGCCACACUUCAGCACGCUGGACGCUGGCGCCCCAGGCCUUGACGCCAGCCCCUCGCCAUCCGCGUCCUCGAGCUCCCACAAGUCCACUCACACCGCCGUGUCGGAGCCCGCCUCCACUCCCACCAAGCUGAUGGCCGAGGCCAGCGCCGCAGCUGUGCCGAGCUCACCUGCCCUCCCCCACGAGGUACCGGUGCCCGGGCUCAGCCAGGCGGCCACGAUGCCAGCGCCUCUGCCUUCCCCCUCGUCCUGUGACCUCUCGCAGCAGCUCCUGCCUCAGACCAUUUUGCAGAGUCCGCCCGCCCCCGUGGCACAGUUCUCCGCACAACUCAGCAUGUUCCAGACCAUCAAGGACCAGCUGGAGCAGAGGACGCGGGUGCUGCAGGCCAACAUCCGGUGGCAGCAGGAAGAGCUCCACAAGAUCCAGGAGCAGCUGUGCCUGGUGCAGGACUCCAGCGUGCAGAUGUUCCUGCAGCAGCCGGCUAUCUCCCUGAGCUUCAGCAGUGCCCAGCGGCCCGAGGUGCAGCAGCAGCAGCUGUCGCAAAGGGUGGCUGCUGUGUCUCAGCCCCAGCUUGUGACAAGCCCCCAGCUUCCGGGCCAGAUGGCCUCGGCCCAGGUCACAAGCCAGCACCUGCUCAGAGAGUCCAGCGUGAUUGCGAGCCAGGGUCCGAAGUCCAUGCGAGGCCCCCAGGUGGUUCAGGGGAGCAGCCGCUUGGCCAGCAGCCUGCCGCCCCCCUUUGGCAGCACUGCGGCACUGCUGCCCCCGGCUCUGAGCCUGGCCGCCCCCGUGCCCACCUCCCAGGAUGCCAGCCAGUGCCAGCCGGGCCCCGACUUCAGCCACGACCGGCAGCUCAGGCUGCUGCUGAGCCAGCCCAUCCAGCCCAUGAUGCCCGGCUCCUGUGACGCGAGACCACCCGCAGAGGCCAGCAGGACAGGACAGCACGUCAAGUUCGCACCGAGCCAGGCCGCGUUUCCCAGUCCAGACUCGCACCCGGCCAGCAGCAGUGCCUCGACGCCCGUCCUGCUGAUGGGGCAGGCGGUGCUGCACCCCAGCUUCCCCGCCCCGCAGCCGGCCCUGCAGCCGCAGCCGCACUACCUGCAGGUGGGCAGUGGGCACCGGGAUGGGGGGCGGGGGUUGGGGGCCAGGAGCAAGGCCAAGUCCCCUCCCCGCUUUCCGGGACACACUGCCCCGCACAGUCCUCCCGGGUUCAACUGCUGCUGGUGCCUGAGGCUUUUAAAUCUGUGCGUAUGGAGCCUGAGAAAUGCAGAGUGGCUGCAGUGACUCACAUGGUUCUAUGCUCAGAAGGUCCUUGGGAGGCCUUCACUUUUCCUGACCCUGCACCUUGCUGUGCCCAAAUUUAUUAGAGCAGAAACGGACCCUGGUGCCUGCUGAUGCUGGCCUUUUGGGUACACGUAUAAAGUCUUACACAGCCGCCUGCAAUCCCAGCUACGCAGCAGGCUGCGGCAGAAGAAUCACAAGUUCAAGGCUGAGCUGAGCAUGGUGCUGCACACGUGUAAUCUGAGCACUUGAGAGGCUGAGGCAGGAGGAUCACUACCAGUUUGGGGCCAUCUUGGGCUACCUAGUGAGUUCAAAGCCAGCCUGAACUACCUACGGAGACCCUGUCUCAAAAAAAAGAAAAGUUCAAGAUUAGCUUGGGCAGUUAAAUGAGACUUUGUCUCAAAAAUGAAAAACAAAGGCCAGGCAUAGUAGUGCUGCAAUCCCAGCAGUCAGCAGGCUGAGGCAGGAGGAUCACUGAAAGCUUGAGGCCAGCUUGGGCCACAUAGUGAGUUCAAGGCCAGUGAACUACAUAGAGAGACCCUGUCUCACACUAAAUAAAUAAACAAACAAAUAAAUAACAAGAAAAGUCUUACACAAAUAUGAAUCACAUUUAAAUACCCGUCAAACUGUCUUAAUAAAUACAAUGUUGAGUGACACUGGGUCUCGCCCAGGAAUAUGGAGCACAUUUACUACUUACGAGGCAAAAACUAUUUCACAAAGGUAUCAAAUACACCGGAAGGAGGGAGGGUGGGAGGGGUGGGAGCCCCCAGUCUGGGAUUCAGAUGGGAGCCACAGGCCCACUGAGGCUGCCCCUUCGGCACGUGCCCAGGGCUUCCUGCUCUGGCCGGGCCAGGGGCCUCCUGAGGGCCGUGGGACAGACACGGAGAGCAUCACCCUUGCGGUGUGGGAUGUAAUUUCCUCCAAAGCCGUGAGCCACCUGUUCAGUAAUUCUCCAAUCUCCCAACGCCCCAGUGUGGGGUCAGCUCCAGCUUGGCUCUGCAGACCUGCCAGACUUGGGGCACAGCAAGGACUUGGGGUGGACGAGGAGGAAGCGGGAGGAGGAGGAGAGGCAUCAUGCAGGUGCCAGGCGAGGACGCAGAGCUCUGGACCUGCUCGAUGCCCUCAGGACUUCAGGGUUGGGGCCGUGUGCACAGCCAGGCUCUGGGGAGCACAGAGGGAGGGCACGGGCGGGGAGCUCCACAGAGGCAGGGGCUGGGGAGAAGAGGCCUUGCAGGUACCUGCCACAGAGCCCAGCAGCUCCGGGAAAGACCUGAAGGCAGGGAGAGGAGCAGAGAUGAGGGACCUGGCAUGGGGGACGGGUGCUGGGCAGCUCCGAAAGUGGGGUCGGGGUACUGAGUUCCUCAGGGGGGACAUGGACUGGGAAGAAGAGAAGGAUAUGAGACCAAAGCGUCUGCAGGCCAAAGCUUCUGACCCUCAGCGUGUUUCCCAGUAGGUGCUGUGGAGGCCGUGCUAGGGACAGUCAUAGGAUCAGGACCAGCAGGGGAAGCAUGCAGAUCCACGGUGUAGCCAAAAAAUACGGUGAAAUUUUACACUCUUCACAUAGUUCAGUAAAAGACACAUUGCUAUGGGACCUCCUCAAAAUACCCUCUUCACCUCACACACACUUACCCCUCCUUCUUCCCACUUUCUGCAGCAGCUCUGGAGUUCUCUUUCCGAGUGUCUUUAGCUGUGCUGUCCUGGCUGCCCCGAUGUCCUGAACCCUUUUGAAACACCGGCCUCUCAUGGUCAUUUUGACUUUGGGGAGCAGCAGAAAGACCCACAGUGCCCAUUCCAGUGGAUGUGGACACAGCAUCAUGUUCUUACAAGCUCCCUUUCCACCAGAUGGUGCUGAGCCACAGAACUCCCUGCAUUUUUUUAUCUCACCUCAUAAAGACACUCCUGAAAGUGGGCUCUAGAACUGCUUCAGAAAGUAGGGAAGAUUCUGAGGGGGGAUUCGUGGCAAUGUGUCUGCUACUGUAAUCAUUUUUGGUUUUUGUCUUUUUGAGACAGGGUCUCGCUGUGCAGUUCAGGCUGGCCUUGAGCUCACUUUGUAGCCCAGGCUGGUCUUGAACUCCCAACAGUCCUCCUGCCUCAGCCUCCCGAGUGCUGGGAUUACAGGCAUGCGCCACCAUGCCUGGCUUGUAAUCAUUUUUUACAUAAGUGUUCAGUGUACAUUUCCAUCACAUCUUGCACACAUGUGCAGAUUCCGCCCUGUUGGCCGUCCCCACGACGCCUCAGGCCCCAUCACCCAGGCCCCUCAGGCCACGUGUAGAUGUGGAACACAAGAAACCAUCCCCGCAGCCUCGGCCCGGGCGCACUGGGCCCGGGGGAAGCGCAGGGUUGGCGGAGAGCUCUUCCCCUCCACCAGGAGGGCUGAGGCUGCUCUCACCUCCACUCACGGCCGCUAGGUGCAGCCAAGCCGCCUCUCCCGACCGGACACCCGGCCGGCAGAGAGCUCAGCCCCUCGGUCUGAGCCCAGCCCAGCCCCUGCCAACCGCAGGGCACUGCAGGGACGCGAAGGCGGCGGCGGGGCUGGCCAGCCUCUGCCUGUUCUGCAGCCUUUCUCUUUCCUUCCCGGCACAGGCGCCGACCUCUUUGCACAGUGAACAGUCGGACCCGCUGCUCCUCUCCACCUACUCCCAGCAGCCCGGGGCCCUGGGCUUCGCCCCGCCACCCCCCGUGCAGCCCCCGCCCACACGCCCACCCCGCAGGGUCAGCCGUGUGUCCGAGUCGUCGGGCCUCCCGCAGCCGCCCCGGUAGUGCGCCGGCACUGGAGUGGGACACGAUCAGCUCCGACCGAUGGACGAGGGGUGGUGACGGGAGACGGGAAAGCGGUCUGAGCUAAAGCCCUGGCUUCCGGCACCUGCGUACAUUUCGGAGCGCCUGGAUGCACCGCGGAGGGCCGUGCUUCCGUGCCGCGAGCUCCUCGGCGCCCUCUACAGCCAUACGGGAUGGAACCGAGCGCCCAGGCGGGCGGCGGGGCUCCGUGCACCUGCAGAGGUAGCGCCCCGGCCGCCUUCCUGGAGGGUGCACGGGUUACUCCACGCAGUGGCCCUGUCCCCACGCCCCAGCUGGCCUUCGCUGUCUCAGCCGUGUUUCUUUGCAUUGGAGAAGGACUGGGUCCAAGAUCUGUUGCAGAGAGAGAAUAAAGAGAUUAUUUUUCAUUAUUUUUAAAUGGUUGUUUUUGUUUUGUUUUAAUUUGCACAGCUGCACCGAGGAAGUAACUUAGGCACUUUCUGUUCUUAAAAAUAAUAAAGUCUCAUGACUUUAUUUGGAGCCCACGUUGAUAAACACGGCCCACCAAUCAGAUAGCGAGGCUAUCUCGGUUGUUCGUAACCGAGCCAUAGACCCAUUUCCCCUGCAGACCCCAACCCUAGUGGAGUGAAGCUCUUCAGCCCCAGCGCUCCCGGGUGAUUCCCCCUACCAUAACACUGGACAAUUUCCUGUUUACGUUGUUGAUUGCAACUACAAAGGUGGACUCCAAGCAAAGCACAGUCUUUCAGCUAAUGCAGAAUUCUGUAGAGAACUCUAAGAAGGGAAGAGGUUCCCCAGGUCAGGCUCCCACCCCAGGGGUGCAGACCCCAGGAGCCCCCCUUAAGUGAGGGUACUGCAUCUCUACUUAUUCUUCAUGAUGAUUCCAAGAAUUGGGUUUUUCCUUUUCAAAUGCACUUUGCUUUUUUUGUAUGUUUUGUUAAGUUGGGAUGUUUCUAAAGAAAAGAUUUUAUGUAAUUAUAAGAGGAAGUGUAGUGAACUGUACAGCUGUUGUAAUAAUGACCUAUUUCUAUAUAAAAUAAAAUUGUAUGGAUUAUGUGUAAAUUAUUUUGUAUCUGAGACACCAGUUCUUUUCCCAAAUAUAAAAAUAUAAAAAGUUUUCUUGUGUUUUUCUGUGAGUGGACAUUUUGUAAUAAAUUAACAACUUUGUACGAUUUCCUCUGUCCUUUGUGGUACAUCCUUGCAUGCGUAUUUCAUCUGGAAAAUUUUAUCUCAAGAUGUUUCAAGGAUAAUCAAAAAUUCGGAAAUGGAAUGUGUCAGCUUUCCACUACGGUGACAAAGUAACAGGUAAUUGAGGAAGAGAGGCUGGCUCUGGGGGCUGAGCUCCAAGGUAGACCACUUGCCUGGCAAGUGUUUCCCAGCUCUGAAAAAUUAAAAAUAAUAGCCGGGCACGGUAGUACACUCCUGUAAUCUCAGGUCCUCAGGAGGCUGAGGCAGAAGGAUAACAAGUCUGAGGCCAGUUUGAGCAACUUACUUAGUGAGAUCCUGACCCAAAACAAAAGGAGGGGUGGGUUAUGACAGCGGCAAGAGUGCUUCCCUAGCAUAUGUGAGGCUCUGGGUUCAAUCCCGAGUAUAAUAUGAAAAUACAUAAUAUAAAAGAUAGGAAAGGUUUGUUUUGGACCACCCUGGCAAAGGUUCAGGCCAUGGUCUCGGUCCUGUUGCUUUGGGCUCAGGGUGGCACUGUACGUAUAUAGUUGCAGGAGCCCAAGGAAGCCAGGAAACAAAAAAAGAAAGGGGCGGGGCCAGGAUUCAAAUAGUCCCUAAGGCCACACCCUUUGUGAUGUCACUUCCUUCAACUAGGCCCCGCCUCCCAAAGGUUCCAAGGUCUCCAGAUAGCACCAGCCUUCAAGUAAUGGCCCUUUGGGGAUAUUCCAGAUCUCAACUGUAGUACGUCCAAAACAAGCAGCACGCUUAGUGAGGUGAUGUAAGGUUUUAAACUGUGACUGUGCACCUGUCUAUCUAGCUCAUGGUCUUUCAAGUUUGUGCCAGAAAAACAAUGUUGCACCAUAGAACUGACAGCAAAAUAAAAACUGAAGAAUAGUUCCUAGAAACAUCUCGACCUUAUUGGUUCUCUAUGGAGAUGACUAAAACA